rnacentral:rRNA from 1 species
UACGAAGGGGGCUAGCGUUGCUCGGAAUCACUGGGCGUAAAGCGCACGUAGGCGGAUUGUUAAGUCAGGGGUGAAAUCCUGGAGCUCAACUCCAGAACUGCCUUUGAUACUGGCGAUCUUGAGUCCGGGAGAGGUGAGUGGAACUGCGAGUGUAGAGGUGAAAUUCGUAGAUAUCGGGAGGAACACCGGUGGCGAAGGCGGCGACCUGGGUAGAUACUGACGCUGAGGUGCGAAAGCGUGGGGAGCAAACAGG